UCUCCGUAGGUGAACCUGCGGAGGGAUCAUUACAGAGUUCAUGCCCUACCGGGUAGAUCUCCCACCCUAGGUUAUUAUUACUUUCUUGCUUAGGCGGGCCGUUAGGCUCUUGCCCGACUACCGGCCCCGGCUGGUAAGCGUCCGCCAGGGGACCCAAAACCCUGAAUAUCAGUGUCGUCUGAGUACUAUAUAAUAGUCAAAACUUUCAACAACGGAUCUCUUGGUUCUG
rnacentral:misc_RNA from 1 species